rnacentral:lncRNA from 1 species
AUUUUAAAUAUUCUUUGUGCACCACGCAUGGUGAUUAGAUCAUGCGAGCGGCCACGAAAUUUUUUUUUUUCCGCACUCGUCUCCGAUUCCAUGUGUAAUCUAAUCACAACACACAAUGCACGAUUUUCUGCACCAUAUAUGGUGCAUAAAGAAUUCCUUAAAUACCAUAUCAUCACUUCCAAAGAUCCAAUGCCUUCCUCGUGUUUUUGUUGUCCAUUGUAACUUUGG